rnacentral:rRNA from 1 species
UACGAAGGGGGCUAGCGUUGUUCGGAAUUACUGGGCGUAAAGGGCAUGCAGGCGGUCGGACGCGUUUCGGGUGACAGCGGGUGGCUUAACUACCCGAGUGGUCGAAAGACGGUUUGACUUGAGGACGCGAGAGGGACACGGAAUUCCGGGUGGAGUGGUGAAAUGCGUAGAGAUCCGGAGGAACACCGAAGGCGAAGGCAGUGUCCUGGCGCGUAACUGACGCUGAGGUGCGAAAGCCAGGGGAGCGAACGGG